rfam:Planomicrobium sp. ES2 genome assembly, contig: CONTIG000001
AACUAAGCGACAGAAAGGCUGAUGGGUGGACAAUGCGUAACUAAUCUUAUUUUCUUCAUUUGAAAUGGAUAUUUCAAAUCACGUGAAAUAGGAUUAGUCUGCCCACUUAUAAAACUGUCGAGCUAUUCAUUUAUCGAAAUGGCUUAUUUAAGGUAGGCAAAUAUCGGCUAAUCCUUCCAAGAAAUUUUUGGGAGGAUUUUUUA